GGUAGAAUAUCUCCAACAUCUUGGUGCAUACACUGAAGGAUCUAAGCUUCCUCAGAAAAUAGAGUCGACUCAUCCCUUUCUUGUACACAACCUCUGUGUUGGAUUUCCAGUCCAGUAAAAAAAACACCUCUGUU